rnacentral:other from 1 species
AGACCUCUGCGGUGUUCGUAAUGGCCAAAGAAGCGGUCGAACCUACAGAAACGAACCAGGGGACGGCCCUUCGACGCUGAUCGGUACGCCCUCCUCCGGGGGGGACACCGGGGAGCACGAAGAAGUCCCCACCUUCAUUCGAAGGGUUCGAAGCACACGGCCAUACGGCAUCGGCGGAGGUUAU